GCGUGCUUAACACAUGCAAGUCGAACGAAGCACUUUAUUUGAUUUCCUUCGGGACUGAUUAUUUUGUGACUGAGUGGCGGACGGGUGAGUAACGCGUGGGUAACCUGCCUUAUACAGGGGGAUAACAGUUGGAAACGGCUGCUAAUACCGCAUAAGCGCACGGCAUCGCAUGAUGCAGUGUGAAAAACUCCGGUGGUAUAAGAUGGACCCGCGUUGGAUUAGCUAGUUGGUGAGGUAACGGCCCACCAAGGCGACGAUCCAUAGCCGACCUGAGAGGGUGACCGGCCACAUUGGGACUGAGACACGGCCCAAACUCCUACGGGAGGCAGCAGUGGGGAAUAUUGCACAAUGGGCGAAAGCCUGAUGCAGCGACGCCGCGUGAGCGAAGAAGUAUUUCGGUAUGUAAAGCUCUAUCAGCAGGGAAGAUAAUGACGGUACCUGACUAAGAAGCACCGGCUAAAUACGUGCCAGCAGCCGCGGUAAUACGUAUGGUGCAAGCGUUAUCCGGAUUUACUGGGUGUAAAGGGAGCGCAGGCGGUGCGGCAAGUCUGAUGUGAAAGCCCGGGGCUCAACCCCGGUACUGCAUUGGAAACUGUCGUACUAGAGUGUCGGAGGGGUAAGCGGAAUUCCUAGUGUAGCGGUGAAAUGCCUCGAUAUUAGGAGGAACACCAGUGGCGAAGGCGGCUUACUGGACGAUAA
rnacentral:rRNA from 1 species